CGUUCCAGGCCUUGUACACACCGCCGUCACAUCAUGAAAGCCGCUUGUACCCGAAGUCGCCCUCAAAAGGCGCCGAAGGUAUGGGUGGUGAUUGGGAGUG
rnacentral:rRNA from 1 species